rnacentral:lncRNA from 1 species
CUCCGAACCGCAUUGCGCGGAUCCUCAUACCUCCAGGGUGGGGUGUAGGACAAAGGGACCGGACGGCUCGGAUGGGCGCCUUGUCUGCGUCGUCGCACUAGGAGCACGUCCAAGCCACCCCCCCGCCCAACCGGGAAAAUGAGCUGUUUUCCCAAUCGCGAAACAUUCCCCCACUCCGCUUUCCCAACCACCAACAAAAUUUAUCCCUGAGAGCGAUUUUGAGGAGUGUCUUGACCUCAUCCAUCGAAGGAUGACAGUGGCUACACAAUGACAUUGUUUUACUCAAAAGAUGUGUUAUCCGCGUGUUUCACCGCAGGAAAACAAACAGCUACUGGCUUGAGAGUUGUCGAGUGGGUGUUGUUGACCGAAGGGGACUGAGGCGUAGCAUUGGCCCUAGGUGUCCCAAAUGAGAUUAUUUGAAACCAGAAGCAGAUGUCUUCAUCAAACACGAAGUGCUAAAGAUUUCAGCAAAAACAGACGGAGUUUUCCUUGGGUAAAGAUCUCAGAAACAAGCCCAUCUUUCCAAGAACCGGAAUUGCAAGAAUCCAGGAUGGGUUACCUGGCUCCUUUGGCUAACGUAUCACAACAGGCUGCAGGCAUCUCAGGGUUCCACGAGGAAGGAUCAACCUCCAAGCCUACUCAGUUCACAGGAUGUCAGUUGGUCUGCCUCAAAGCAAAUGCAGGACAGAGCAAGAAAAAGAAGGUGAGAGCCACAGUCUUUUAGUAACCUUGACUCAGAAGUGACAUGGUAUCACUCUUGCCAAAUACAAGUGCAUCCAUCACUAGGACUCAACACAGAGGGGAUUACAAAAGGUAUGAGUGCCAGGAGGUGGGAGUCACUGGGGACUCUCUUUAGAAGUUUCCUCUACCAUCAUAGGAGUAAUGGAAGAUUCUGUUGAAGAUAUAGGCUGGGCCAGAUCAAAGAAAGCCAUGGAAGCCACCCUCAGAAUGAAACCAUUCCACUGGAAAUGAACAGUAGAGGAGCAAAUUUAAUGUUUAAGUCCAUUUUAGGCAAACAGAAGUGUUGGAUAAUUAGAAUUUUGAUGGUUGCCCUAAAGAGCAGCUGUUUAGCCAGUUGGGGAGGUUAACUAAUUAUAGCCCCCAGGAAACAAACACACUCACUUUUAUCAGAUAAUCCUAUAGCAGAUAGCUAUCUGCUCUUACUCAAACCUAACUUAAUGAUACAUUCUUGAAAAUCCAGAAUGGGCAACUGAUGUUUGUGGCUAUUUUUCUGUUAGGAAGUCUCUAAAGUUUGCUUUCAGUAGCUUUCAAAAUUCUUUGGUCUCCAACCCAAGGCAAGCAAUACAUUUUAUAUCACAACCUAG